GCGUUGUUCGGGUUCAUUGGGCGUAAGGGGUGCGUAGGUGGCGUGGUAAGUCGGGUGUGAAAUUUCGGAGCUUAACUCCGAAACUGCAUUUGAUACUGCCGUGCUCGAGGACUGGAGAGGAGACUGGAAUUUACGGUGUAGCAGUGAAAUGCGUAGAGAUCGUAAGGAAGACCAGUGGCGAAGGCGGGUCUCUGGACAGUUCCUGACACUGAGGCACGAAGGCCAG
rnacentral:rRNA from 1 species